GUGAGUAACACGUGAGCAACCUGCCCCUGACUCUGGGAUAAGCCCGGGAAACUGGGUCUAAUACCGGAUAUGACCACCGAUCGCAUGGUCUGGUGGUGGAAAGUUUUUCGGUUGGGGAUGGGCUCGCGGCCUAUCAGCUUGUUGGUGGGGUGAUGGCCUACCAAGGCGACGACGGGUAACCGGCCUGAGAGGGCGACCGGUCACACUGGGACUGAGACACGGCCCAGACUCCUACGGGAGGCAGCAGUGGGGAAUAUUGCGCAAUGGGCGAAAGCCUGACGCAGCGACGCCGCGUGAGGGAUGACGGCCUUCGGGUUGUAAACCUCUUUCAGCAGGGACGAAGCUAACGUGACGGUACCUGCAGAAGAAGCGCCGGCUAACUACGUGCCAGCAGCCGCGGUAAUACGUAGGGCGCAAGCGUUGUCCGGAAUUAUUGGGCGUAAAGAGCUCGUAGGCGGUCUGUCGCGUCGGUUGUGAAAGCCCACAGCUUAACUGUGGGUCUGCAUCCGAUACGGGCAGACUAGAGGCAGGUAGGGGAGCAUGGAAUUCCCGGUGUAGCGGUGAAAUGCGCAGAUAUCGGGAGGAACACCGGUGGCGAAGGCGGUGCUCUGGGCCUGUACUGACGCUGAGGAGCGAAAGCGUGGGGAGCGAACAGGAUUAGAUACCCUGGUAGUCCACGCCGUAAACGUUGGGCGCUAGGGUGUGGGGGUCCUUCCACGGAUUCCGCGCCGUAGCUAACGCAUUAAGCGCCCCGCCUGGGGGAGUACGGCCGCAAGGCUAAAACUCAAAGGAAUUUGACGGGGGCCCGCACAAGCGGCGGGAGCAUGUUGCCUUAAUUCGACGCAACGCGAAGAACCUUACCAAGGCUUGACAUCGCCGGAAACAUCAAAAAAAUGGGGGGGUCCUUUUGGGCCGGUGACAGGGUGUGGCAUGGCUGUCGUCAGCUCGUGUCCUGGAAAAUUUUUGGGUUAAAUCCCGCAACGAGCGCAACCCUCGUUCCAUGUUGCAGCACGUUAAUUGGUGGGGGAAUUCUUGGGAAAACCGCCCGGGUCACUCCGAAGAAAAAGGGUGGGGGAUAGAAGUCCAAGUCAUCCUUGCCCCCUUAUGUCCUUGGGGUUGCAACAAUGCUUCCAAUGGGCCGGGUAAAAAAGGGUUGCGAUACCCCCCAAGGGGGGAGCCGAAUCCCUUUAAACCGGGGUUCUUUUUUCGAAAUUGGAGGGUCGGGCAAUCCGACCCCCAUCAAAAUCGGGAGUCCCCUGUUAUUUCCAAAAUACAAAAAACCCCCGGGGGGAAAAAAUUUCCCGGGGCCCUGUUUAAACCCCCCCCGUCCCUUUUC
rnacentral:rRNA from 1 species